GGUGGCUGAUUUAUUGGCUAGCCCAGUGUAUGGCCGGCAAGUUUCUCCUCAGACUCAGUUUCCACCCCCUAUCUGGUAAAAUAUAGAGGAUUUUUAUAACUAUGGACACGUCCUCCUCUAGACAAAAUCAUAUGUAGAGAACCAUUGUACAAACUGGAUGGAAGCAGAAAGGGGGCUGUCUGGGGGUGGGUGGGCUCUGGGACUUGAUAUCUCAACUCUGUUAAUCAUUAACCAUCAUCAUCAUCAUCAUCAUCAUCAUCAUCAUCAUCAUCAUCGUCAUUGUGUUUGAGACGUGGUCUCAGCUUAGUCCAGACAGACCUCUCCAUCUGACUACUCUCCUGCCUCGGCCUCCUGAAUGUCGAAGGUCCAGCAUACACCAUCACCUUCCGGGCUCUCGUUCUGUAAGAGAUGAAGAACAACAUGUGGUAAGACACGCCCGCCAUCCGUCACUGGAUAGAAGGAGGCUAGAGGCUCGCAAGGCGAAGGUCAUCUGUGGCUGCAGACAUCCGUCCCUCAGCCGAAUUCUCUCAGAUGUCCUCAAAGGUCCUCCAGAGAAGGAAGAAGAUAAAGCUGAAACCAGAAGAAAGAGUUGCUAAUAGCCCAUGGAUGGACCAAUCCUUUAACCCCCAAGGCAUUCUGGGAGUGGAGAGCUGGGCAAAAUAAAGCAAAUAAUAAAAUACGGGAGGGCCCCUGGCCCCUGGCGGUGGGGGUGAUGGGAAUUGGAGUCACUCGCCUGUCAGGACCUAUAUCAACAUGUCAGCCGCUUGGACAAACAAGCGUUGCGAGGGGAAAUAUUUCAGAUAAACAGACACGAUGUUAUGACAUAUCACCCUCCCCCCCACCCUCCCCACCCCUGGAAAAGGGAAUCAGUUGGAGACCAAGGAGAAGAAGAGAGGAAGCAACUCCAUGGGGAGAUCUGUUUUCCCUGGCUUGAGGCCUCCUAGGGUCAGCUGUAAAUAAAAUAGGUUUUUGAUU
rnacentral:lncRNA from 1 species